UAUAAGUGCAGUUGUGGUUUUCUAUUGUCCAAUGUUUGACCGUACGUCUUAUUUGAAAAAAAUAUGAUUAGUAUUUUUGUUGUUAUUAGAUGAUAAAACAUGGAUAGUACUUUAUGUGUGACUAAUUUUUUUAAAAAAAAUCAUAAAUUUUUUAAAUAAAAUGGACGGUCAAAUUUUGGACAUGGAAACCCACAACUGCACCUAUA
rfam:Oryza meridionalis cultivar OR44 (W2112) chromosome 1, whole genome shotgun sequence.